rnacentral:rRNA from 1 species
AAUCUUCCGCCAUGGAUGAAAGUCUGACGGAGCGAUGCCGUGUGAGUGAUGAAGGUCUUCGGAUCGUAAAACACUGUUGUUAGGGAAGAACAACUAUCGGAGUAAUAUGCCGGUACUUUGACGGUACCUAACUAGAAAGCCUCGGCUCACUACGUGCCAGCAGCCUCGGUAAUACGUAGGGGGCAAGCGUUGUCCGGAAUUAUUGGGCGUAAAGGGCACGCAGGCGGUUAUUUAAGUCUGAUGUGAAAUCUUGUGGCUUAACCACAAGCGGUCAUUGGAAACUGGAUAACUUGAGUACAGAAGAGGAGAGUGGAAUUCCACGUGUAGCGGUGAAAUGCGUAGAGAUGUGGAGGAACACCAGUGGCGAAGGCGGCUCUCUGGUCUGUAACUGACGCUGAGGUGCGAAAGCGUGGGUAGCGAACA